rnacentral:snRNA from 1 species
AUCUUUGUGCUUGGUGCAAUGACGCAGCUAGGAGGUUCUAACCAAGGAGAGUCUAUUGCUGAUUGAAAACUGUUUCCAAACCCCUUCUUCAGCCUGGGCUUGCACUAGGCUAUCAAGAAUUUCUGGAGAAAAAAAUU